AAUCUCUUUUAUUUUGUAAAGGAAUGUAGACAAGUAGCCAACUACAGCUAGAUAGGAUAUCGAGCCUACUAACCUGAUUUUUUACAACAGUACAUUGACGAUAUGAAUGAGAAUCAUCAGCUAAUUCUCUUUGUGAUUAUGAUGGUAUUUGUAAGAAUCAUACCCAACCACAUUCAUGUCUUCGUGUGUCCAAAUAAUCUUUGGUAAUGGAUAAAUCUUUUGCUUACAAGAUACAUUAACUUGUGGCAAUUAAACUGGUGAAGGAAAGGUUGCCAACAAACAUCAAAUCAAAAGGUGAUUAUAUAAGCAAGAGGAUAAUGGCCAAACAUAUGCUUUCAGGUUUUGGCAGCAAAAAAAUAUCACGGAGCACAACUUUCAGAGACUUAACUAUGGAAAAAUAUUACUAAAAUUGGAUUUAUUUCCCAUAGGGAAAAUAAACGAGAGUGAAUGUUCAGUCCUGUUCCAAAUCCUUGUUAAAAAUACUCCAGCUAUUAAAACUGCCAAUUAUAUAGUUUCUGACAGUUCUUAGAAAUACACCUUGACUUUGUCUUGUCUAGUACUCGAAUAUUGCAUUGCACAUAUCCUAAAGUAGAAAGUUGGCUAAUAUGGAACUGAUGGCCCAACAUAACAUCAUACCGCGCUUUAACCAACAAUCAAAUAGGAGAUAAAGAGUGUUUAAAAACGAAAUGACUCAUUGUAAAUAAAUAUAACUGCAGGAAGGUAUACCCGUGACAUUGCUGAAACGCCA
rnacentral:misc_RNA from 1 species